rfam:Ancylostoma ceylanicum strain HY135 Acey_s0112_scaf, whole genome shotgun sequence.
CCAACGGCCCUCUUUAGGGCCACAUAUUCUAUCGAAUACCAAUUAU